rnacentral:lncRNA from 13 species
CUUCUGUUUAGUUCUUUGCGCAGCAUUUUCUCUUAACAAGCCUGAGUCUCUUAGGGCCAGAGCCAGGGUUGAGAGAGCAGGUCAUCAUUUUUCUUUCUGCUUCUCUAUGAAUAUAUGGUGCCAAGACAAAUGCAAGGACAUAGAGGAAGCAAACAAAAGUGAGGAAUUUGGGAAUGUGAUUGGAGAAGAAAGUGUCAGACUUUUCCUAAGUAUCUUAGGAUUGCUCUGAAUAGAAUAGACUCUACGAGACUAAGAUCAGAGGGAAAAGGCAGUUGAGGCUAUGGAUGUCCUUCAAAGGAGAGAUCUUGAACGGUUGGACCACGGGAGUGACAAAGGAAGAGGUGAGAAGUGGUAACACCCUGGAUAUAUUUUGAAGGGAGAGCCAAAAAGGAUUUGCUGAGUGGAAUAUAAGAGAAAAAGAGAAGUCAGGAAUGAACCCAAAGUUGUGGUCUGAGCAACAGGAAAAAUGUAGUUGUCAUUGACUGAGAGGGAAGGCUGUGGAAGAAAUAUGCCAGGGAUAAAAGAAUAAGAACAUAGUUUUUACAUGUGAGGUGUGACACAUCCAUCAGUCACCCAAGAAAGGGCUCAAGUUGGCAACUGGAUACAAGAAUCCAGAGUUUAUGGUGUGAGGUCCAGGCUAGAGAUGUAACUGUGGGAGUUUUCAGAAUAUAGAUGAUAUGGCUGGGUGCAGUGGCUCACACCUGUAGUCCCAGCAUUUUGGGAGACUGAGGCAGGCAGAUGACCUGAGGUCAGGAGUUCGAGAACAACCUGACCAACAUGGAGAAAUCCUGUCUCUACUAAAAAUACAAAAA